CAGGAUAUGUUGCAAAUGUCUUAAAUUUGAUAAUCCAGCAACAAAAGGAUUCAGAACCACAAGAUACAAAAUAUGAUCACCAUCUCGUAUCAGCUCCUUCUGCACAUUCAAAUGAUGAUAGGAAGAAAUGUUCCUCUUCUGAUGAACUGAAACUGCUGUCACUAUCCCCCGCCAAAACAAGUUCAUGCAUAAGAUUUCUUGAAGCGUGUACAGUCUUCAUUUUCUCCUCGCAUUGUCUUGAUGAACUAGUAAGUUCAUCAACAUUUUUACAACCAGAAGAAAGUGCGGUAGCUGAGCAACAAUUCACAGGAUAAUCACAUCAGUAUCACAAAUUGAUUCUUCUUCCUUCAUAUCUCGUGUACAGAAAAAGCUGUUGAACCUGAGCAAUGAUCGGCACGAGAACCAUCAGUAUCACGAAUCAAUUCUUCUUGCCGCUUCCGUUUUCGUUUACUAGUUGGACAUAUAUCAUCAUCUCCUUUAUGAUCACCACCAUUUGGGUUCUCACUUACAUUUAUGCUUGUAGUUUGCUUUCUUUUAAGCAUUCCGGAGCUCACCUUGUCUAUGAGGUCUUUGUUUCCUUCUCUGCACAAAAUUCCUCCUGGAGCAUGAUCAUCAUCGCUAUCAAUGAUGUCAACAAUGGCUCCUGAUGCAGAUGUAGGACAAGCUGUCAUGUGAGAAAUAAGUACAGUAUUACUGAGAUAUGAGUCAAUUUCAAUUAAAUUUUACAGCCCAAGUUUGGAAGCUAA